AUUGAACGCUGGCGGCAGGCCUAACACAUGCAAGUCGAACGGUAACAGGAAGAAGCUUGCUUCUUUGCUGACGAGUGGCGGACGGGUGAGUAAUGUCUGGGAAACUGCCUGAUGGAGGGGGAUAACUACUGGAAACGGUAGCUAAUACCGCAUAACGUCGCAAGACCAAAAAGGGGGACCUUCGGGCCUCUUGCCAUCGGAUGUGCCCAGAUGGGAUUAGCUAGUAGGUGGAGUAACGGCUCACCUAGGCGACGAUCCCUAGCUGGUCUGAGAGGAUGACCAGCCACACUGGAACUGAGACACGGUCCAGACUCCUACGGGAGGCAGCAGUGGGGAAUAUUGCACAAUGGGCGCAAGCCUGAUGCAGCCAUGCCGCGUGUAUGAAGAAGGCCUUCGGGUUGUAAAGUACUUUCAGCGGGGAGGAAGGGAGUAAAGUUAAUACCUUUGCUCAUUGACGUUACCCGCAGAAGAAGCACCGGCUAACUCCGUG
rnacentral:rRNA from 1 species